GAUGAAGAACGUAGCGAAAUGCGAUAAGUAAUGUGAAUUGCAGAAUUCAGUGAAUCAUCGAAUCUUUGAACGCACAUUGCGCCCCCUGGUAUUCCGGGGGGCAUGCCUGUUCGAGCGUCAUUACAACCCUCAAGCUCUGCUUGGUAUUGGGCCCCGCCGGUUCCGGCAGGCCUUAAAAUCAGUGGCGGUGCCAUUCGGCUUCAAGCGUAGUAAUUCUUCUCGCUUCGGAGACCCGGGUGCGUGCUUGCCAGCAACCACCAAUUUUUUCAGGUUGACCUCGGAUCAGGUAGGGAUACCCGCUGAACUUAAGCAUAUCAAUAAGCGGAGGA
rnacentral:misc_RNA from 1 species